rnacentral:rRNA from 1 species
UACGGAGGGAGCUCGCGUUAUUCGGAAUUACUGGGCGUAAAGCGCACGUAGGCGGCUUUGUAAGUUAGAGGUGAAAGCCUGGAGCUCAACUCCAGAAUUGCCUUUAAGACUGCAUCGCUUGAAUCCAGGAGAGGUGAGUGGAAUUCCGAGUGUAGAGGUGAAAUUCGUAGAUAUUCGGAAGAACACCAGUGGCGAAGGCGGCUCACUGGCCCGUUACCGACGCUCAGGCGCGACAGCGUGGGGAGCAAACAGG